rnacentral:lncRNA from 1 species
UAAGACCUUUCUUUUCCUUUUCUUUUUUUUUUUUAAUAAAUUUUUAGGGCGUGUUUGUUUCGUUUUUUUUGGUAUUCUGGAAUCGGAAUCGGAAUGGGCGAAUUUAUUUAUGGGUGUUUGGUACGCAGGAGUCCAAUUCCGAUUCCGAUUCCCUAGUGGGAUGGGAAUCUCCCAAUCACCUCUUUUUCCAAUCCGGCCUAACAGGCCGGAUUGGAAGUUGAAUCCGGACGGAAUGAAUAUUUAUUUGACUUAAAUUUAUUUUUUCAACUUUUUUAGUUAAAAUAUGAGUUUAAGGGCGUGUUUGAUUCGCUUUUUUUUUGGUACCCUGGAAUCGAAAUCGGAAUGGGUGAAUUCAUUUGUCGGUGUUUGGUACAUGGGAGUCCAACUCCGAUUCCGAUUCCCCAGUGGGAUGGGAAUCCUCCAAUCAUCUCUUUUUUCAAUCCGGCCUAGCAAGUCGGAUUGGAAGUUGAAUCCGGACGGAAUAGAUAUUUAUUUGACUUAAAUUUAUUUUUUCAACUUUGUUAAUUAAAAUAUAAGUUUAAGGGCAUGUUUGGCUCGCUAUUUUGCACCCUGGAAUCGAAAUCGGAAUGGGCGAAUCCGUUUGUGGGUGUUUGGUACGCAUGAGUCCAAUUUCGAUUCCGAUUCCCGAGUGGAAUGGGAAUCCCCAAUCACCUCUUUUUCCAAUCCAGCCUAGGAGGCUGGAUUGGAAGUUGAAUCCGGGCGGAAUAGAUAUUUAUUCGAAUUAAAUUUAUUUUUUCAACUUUUUUAAUUUUUUAAUUAAAAUAUGAGUUUAAAUUUAGAAAUUAAAUAUAUAUAAUUUUAAAUUUUAAUUUGAACUUGAAUUAAAAAUUAAAAUUUAAUUAAGUAUUUCGAAUCUAAUUUAUGAAUUUGAAUUUAAAUUAAUAUAUUAUAAAGAUAAAGUUAGUAUAUUAAUUUGAUUACGUUUUUUAUAUCUACUUGAGAUCCUGAACCAAACACCGACAAUGGGAAUGAUUUAUUCCCAGCCCGAUUCAGGUUAUGAAUCAAACAAACAGAAUUAGGUAUUCCGAUUCUGAUUCCAACUUAUUUCGAUUCCGAUUCUGAUUCUGAUUCCGAUUCCGACUUCGAGCCAAGCCCUAAAUAUCACCUCUGUGGUUUCUCACUUUCUCUUUCUCAUUUUAGUGCCAUGUGAUUUAAAGUGUAUCAAGUUAGUGUCCUGUGGUUUUAUUUGUAUCUUUUCCUCAACUUUUUCUGUUAAUAUUUCGUUAAAUUAUAUACAAAAAACUUUAGAUACCCCACCUAGGUUUAUCGAAUAUUCACUUUAGUACCAUUUAGUUUUAACUUUGUCACUAAUUUAACUAAAAAAAUUAGUGGAAUCGAUAAUAAAAAUUAGUGGAAUCGAUAAUAACCCCGAAAUCGGAAUCGGAAUGAUCCAUUCCGAUUCUAGAUGUUUGGUAUGCCGUAAUCUCAUUCCGAUUCCGUUUCCAUUCCGGAAUAG